rnacentral:rRNA from 1 species
UACGAAGGGGGCUAGCGUUGUUCGGAAUCACUGGGCGUAAAGCGCACGUAGGCGGAUCUUUAAGUCAGGGGUGAAAUCCUGGAGCUCAACUCCAGAACUGCCUUUGAUACUGGGGAUCUCGAGUCCGGGAGAGGUGAGUGGAACUCCGAGUGUAGAGGUGAAAUUCGUAGAUAUUCGGAAGAACACCAGUGGCGAAGGCGGCUCACUGGCCCGGUACUGACGCUGAGGUGCGAAAGCGUGGGGAGCAAACAGG